rnacentral:rRNA from 1 species
CCUACGGGAGACAGCAGUGAGGAAUAUUGGUCAAUGGGCUUACGCCUGAACCAGCCAAGUCGCGUGAGGGAAGACUGCCCUAUGGGUUGUAAACCUCUUUUGUCAGGGAGCAAAGUCGGCCACGUGUAGCCGGACUGAGAGUACCUGAAGAAAAAGCAUCGGCUAACUCCGUGCCAGCAGCCGCGGUAAUACGGAGGAUGGGAGCGUUAUCCGGAUUUAUUGGGUUUAAAGGGUGCGUAGGCGGAAUGCCAAGUCAGCGGUAAAAUCGCGGGGCUCAACCUCGCUCCGCCGUUGAAACUGGCGGUCUUGAGUGGGCGAGAGGUAUGCGGAAUGCGUGGUGUAGCGGUGAAAUGCAUAGAUAUCACGCAGAACUCCGAUUGCGAAGGCAGCAUACCGGCGCCCAACUGACGCUGAAGCACGAAAGCGUGGGUAUCGAACAGGAUUAGAUACCCCUGUAGUC